rnacentral:rRNA from 1 species
UGCGUAGGCGGGUUUCUAAGUCAGAGGUGAAAGCCUGGAGCUCAACUCCAGAACUGCCUUUGAUACUGGAAGUCUUGAGCAUGGCAGAGGUGAGUGGAACUGCGAGUGUAGAGGUGAAAUUCGUAGAUAUUCGCAAGAACACCAGUGGCGAAGGCGGCUCACUGGGCCAUUACUGACGCUGAGGCACGAAAGGCUGGGAGCAAACA